GCCCAGCUAGCUCAGUCGGUAGAGCAUGAGACUCUUAAUCUCAGGGUCGUGGGUUCGAGUCCCUCGCUGGGCG
rnacentral:tRNA from 1 species